UACAAAGGUCUCAAGCGUUGUUCGGAUUCAUUGGGCGUAAAGGGUGCGUAGGUGGCGCUGUAAGUCGGGUGUGAAAUUUCGGAGCUUAACUCCGAAACUGCAUUCGAUACUGCGGUGCUUGAGGACUGGAGAGGAGACUGGAAUUCAUGGUGUAGUAGUGAAAUGCGUAGAGAUCAUGAGGAAGACCAGUGGCGAAGGCGGGUCUCUGGACAGUUCCUGACACUGAGGCACGAAGGCCAGGGGAGCAAACGGG
rnacentral:rRNA from 1 species